UCAAUCUCUACUGCAUCUUUCUCAUAGUUUUGACAUUAAUCAUCCUUCUCAUUGUUGUCCUGCAGGAAAAAGAAACCCAGGGACAACAGUGGGUGUGUCUUCUUAACAUGUUACACAAGAAAGACUGGAAAUAAACAAAUGUUAAAUGAGGACAGCCCCUUCCUGCCAAAUAGGGGAGUUAACACAAGGAAGUGACUCAAGCAUGCCGUGUGCUGAUUGGAUGAGGGAAGAUCCUCCAGAUGGACUGCGGCUGCAAGCUCCAACCACAGGCUGCGACACAGGCAGUGAAUGACAGGGUAUGUUUUUCAUUGUGUUGUUUUACUCAUUGGUCCCCACACCUUCCAAACCAGUAUGGGUGACCAGAUACCACAGAGAUUAUCAGUACACAGAAGUAGAAGACAAUGUCACACUUUACAACCAGGAAACAGGAUCACUUUUGUGUCUGAGUAUCACUGAUAAUGCCAGACUGACACAUUUAAACACGUCUUUUAGCAGUUACAUUCACAGAGCACUAAGGAUGUAAAGGUCAGUUCUCCCAAAUUACAGAAGAUUUAUUUUCUCACUUAUACAAGUCAAGCUGAUGGAUUUGGUUGCAUUUGCCAAGGUUUUGAAAUACAAUGGAAUGUUUUUUUUUUUUUGCUGUGCUCACAGCAUUAAAAAUUACAUUUGAAAAUUUCUCCGAAUAGAAUUUGCCUUUCAUUCACAUAUUUGCAUGGUCUUUGAAACUAAAAUCUUAAUAAUCACAAUAACCAAAAUUAUGUUUUAUUAGGAUAUAAGGUGCAACUGAAGUGUGAAUGUAAACAGGACAUGAAAUAUAGCAAAACAUAUGUUUAAAACAUUUAACAGCAACAUUUCUUUCCAGAAACAAUGUCACAGUUAUCAUAUAAAAAAACAGAAUAAGCUUGUGGCCCCAUGGUGAAUACAUACAUACAUACAGCAUUCAUAGCCAGGAUUUCAGAGAUACUGAGACCUUUAGUUCUUAUCCGCAAUGCUAGAAAGUAAUUAUGCUGGAGAAAUAUUAAAAACAUUUAUUUUUUAUUUUUUUAUUAUUGUUAUAGUAAGGGUUACAGUACAAAGUAAACUCCACCGCAGAUCAUUAAAACCCAUACAUUUUUCCUUGAUUGCUAAGACAUGUACAAUGUAACUGGGAACCACUUGGUCUUCAUCAUCACUUCUUAGCACAGCAGAAGUCUUCUCUUGAAAAGGUGUUAACACUCUUUUAUUGAUUUCACACAUUACUCACAUCCUUUUUCAAAACAGUUAACACAGAUCUCAUAGAAAAUGUAAUUGUAUAGAUUAUCUUUGUUAAACAAAAGAAAACAUGUAUUCAAAGCUGAUAGAAAUGACUUGCAUAAUUAUGAAUCUCUGAUGCAUCUUUGUGAAACUCCUUUGCACAACUCUUCAAUCAGUAAUCAGUCUUAGGUUAAAACCUAGUAUAUGGCUGUUGUGGUCCAGCCAAAAAGAAUGACAUUACAGUAUUUGUGCAUUUGGGUGACAUCAUUUUUUGGUUCUUUGGUGAAGAAAAAAUGCAGUAAAAAAAGCUGUACCAUAAUGAAUGUUAAUUUUUUUCUACUCUAGGUGCUCAGUGUAAGUCUUACAUGUCAACGACAGUUCAUAAACACUGAAAUACUUGCAUACAACAAUACACUUAAUAAAGAAAACUCAUUUAUUUAA